GAGCGGUAAGGCCUUUCGGGGUACACGAGCGGCGAACGGGUGAGUAACACGUGGGUGAUCUGCCCUGCACUUCGGGAUAAGCCUGGGAAACUGGGUCUAAUACCGGAUAUGACCUCMURUYGCAUGRYKKGUGGUGGAAAGAUUUAUCGGUGCAGGAUGGGCCCGCGGCCUAUCAGCUUGUUGGUGGGGUAAUGGCCUACCAAGGCGACGACGGGUAGCCGACCUGAGAGGGUGACCGGCCACACUGGGACUGAGACACGGCCCAGACUCCUACGGGAGGCAGCAGUGGGGAAUAUUGCACAAUGGGCGAAAGCCUGAUGCAGCGACGCCGCGUGAGGGAUGACGGCCUUCGGGUUGUAAACCUCUUUCAGCAGGGACGAAGCGCAAGUGACGGUACCUGCAGAAGAAGCACCGGCUAACUACGUGCCAGCAGCCGCGGUAAUACGUAGGGUGCAAGCGUUGUCCGGAAUUACUGGGCGUAAAGAGUUCGUAGGCGGUUUGUCGCGUCGUUUGUGAAAACCAGCAGCUCAACUGCUGGCUUGCAGGCGAUACGGGCAGACUUGAGUACUGCAGGGGAGACUGGAAUUCCUGGUGUAGCGGUGAAAUGCGCAGAUAUCAGGAGGAA
rnacentral:rRNA from 1 species